rnacentral:misc_RNA from 1 species
GAUGAAGAACGCAGCGAAAUGCGAUAAGUAGUGUGAAUUGCAGAAUUCAGUGAAUCAUCGAAUCUUUGAACGCACAUUGCGCCCCUUGGUAUCCCGAGGGGCAUGCCUGUUCGAGCGUCAUUGCUGCCCUCAAGCACGGCUUGUGUGUUGGGCCCCGUCCUCCGAUUCCGGGGGACGGGCCCGAAAGGCAGCGGCGGCACCGCGUCCGGUCCUCGAGCGUAUGGGGCUUUGUCACCCGCUCUGUAGGCCCGGCCGGCGCUUGCCGAUCAACCCAAAUUUUUAUCCAGGUUGACCUCGGAUCAGGUAGGGAUACCCGCUGAACUUAAGCAUAUCAAUAAGCGGAGGA